rnacentral:rRNA from 1 species
UACAGAGGGUGCGAGCGUUAAUCGGAAUUACUGGGCGUAAAGCGCGCGUAGGCGGCUUUGCAAGUCGGGUGUGAAAUCCCCAGGCUUAACCUGGGAACUGCAUUCGAGACUGCAUUGCUAGAGUAUGGGAGAGGGAAGUGGAAUUUCCGGUGUAGCGGUGAAAUGCGUAGAUAUCGGAAGGAACAUCAGUGGCGAAAGCGACUUCCUGGACCAGCACUGACGCUGAGGCACGAAAGCGUGGGGAGCAAACAGG